CUAGUGUUUGCAUUGACUAAGGGUUGUUCAAAGCAACUCUUAUUUCUUCAUACAACGAUUUGUAAGUGAAGAACUAAUAACACUAAAAGUGUCCUUGUCAUUAUGCUAAUCUUCGUAAGUUCCUUUGUUCAUUUAACAAAGGAUUAAGCAUUGGUUGUUUGUGUUGUCCUCUUCAUGAUAGACCUUUCUAACAUGUUCUUCCAAUGAUACAUUAUCAUUAGGAAGAUUGUGAGGAUGAGACUACUUAGGUACAUAUACAAUCCAUUUAAGACAAUCUUUGGGAUUGU
rnacentral:lncRNA from 1 species